rnacentral:snRNA from 1 species
CUCCCUACGCAGUGGCAGUAUCGUAGCUAAUGAGGUUAAUCCGAGGCGUGAUCAUUGCUAGUUGAAAAUUUUUCUAAAUCUUAGCCAAUCAGUAGCAUUUUAAUCAGCAAUUAGCCCUUCAGCCUCAAAUACCCUUUAAUUGGACUACCCUAGCGCCUGACUGGUUCCAGAAUUUGCUUGCAGUCUUACCAGAAGUACAGAAAAUUUCUGAACUUCAAUGGCAAAUUCACAUACUCCAAAAUAUAUAUCAAAUUGA